rnacentral:rRNA from 1 species
CCUACGGGAGGCAGCAGUGGGGAAUAUUGCACAAUGGGCGAAACCCUGAUGCAGCGACGCCGCGUGAGUGAAGAAGUAUUUCGGCUCGUAAACCUCUAUCAGCAGGGAAGAAAAAGAUGAUAGCUCAUUAAGAAGCCCCGGCUAAUUACGUGCCAGCAGCCGCGGUGAUACGUAGGGGGCAAGCGUUAUUCGGAUUUACUGGGUGUAAAGGGUGAGUAGUCGGCAGCACAAGCCUGAAGUGAAAUGCCUGGGCUUAACCCCGGGACUGCAUUGGAAACUGUGCAGCUAGAGUGCAGGAGAGGAAAGUGGAAUUCCUAGUGUAGCGGGGAAAUGCGUAGAGAUUAGGAAGAACACCAGUGGCGAAGGCGGCUUACUGGACUGUAACUGACGUUGAGGCACGAAAGCGUGGGGAGCGAACAGGAUUAGAUACCCAAGUAGUC